CCUACGGGUGGCAGCAGUGAGGAAUAUUGGUCAAUGGACGCGAGUCUGAACCAGCCAUGUCGCGUGCAGGAAGACGGCCCUAUGAAUUGUAAACCGCUUUUGUCGGGGGGCAAAAGCCGACACGCGUAGCUUUCCGAAAGUACCCGAAGAAAAAGCAUCGGCUAACUCCGUGCCAGCAGCCGCGGUAAUACGGAGGAUUCAAGCGUUAUCCGGAUUUAUUGGGUUUAAAGGGUGCGUAGGCGGUCGGAUAAGUCAGGGGUGAAAUUCCGAGGCUCAACCUCGGCAGUGCCUCUGAUACUGUUCGGCUAGAGAGUAGUUGCGGUAGGCGGAAUGUAUGGUGUAGCGGUGAAAUGCUU
rnacentral:rRNA from 1 species